CCUACGGGUGGCAGCAGUGAGGAAUAUUGGUCAAUGGCCGGAAGGCUGAACCAGCCAAGUAGCGUGAGGGAAGACUGCCCUAUGGGUUGUAAACCUCUUUUAUGCGGGGAUAAAGGUGUCCACGUGUGUAUGUUUGCAGGUACCGCACGAAUAAGGACCGGCUAAUUCCGUGCCAGCAGCCGCGGUAAUACGGAAGGUCCGGGCGUUAUCCGGAUUUAUUGGGUUUAAAGGGAGCGUAGGCGGGUCGUUAAGCGUGCCGUGAAAUUUUGUGGCUCAACGAUGCGAGUGCGGCGAGAACUGGAGACCUUGAGUGCGCGGGAGGCAGGCGGAAUUCGUGGUGUAGCGGUGAAAUGCUUAGAGAUCACGAAGAACAGCGAUGGCGAAGGCAGCCUGCCGCAGCGUUACUGACGCUGAGGCUCGAAAGCGCGGGUAGCGAACAGGAUUAGAUACCCGAGUAGUC
rnacentral:rRNA from 1 species